rnacentral:rRNA from 1 species
UACGUAGGGGGCAAGCGUUGUUCGGAUUCAUUGGGCGUAAAGGGUGCGUAGGCGGCGCGGUAAGUCGGGUGUGAAAUCUCGGAGCUUAACUCCGAAACUGCAUUCGAUACUGCCGUGCUUGAGGACUGGAGAGGAGACUGGAAUUUACGGUGUAGCGGUGAAAUGCGUAGAUAUCGUAAGGAAGACCAGUGGCGAAGGCGGGAUCUCUGGACAGUUCCUGACGCUGAGGCACGAAAGGUCAGGGGAGCAAACGGGG